rnacentral:lncRNA from 1 species
GCUACUAAGGAGUGGUAAUGCUAAGAGCUGGGAGAUACACCUCAGAGCCUGGAGCCACAAAGGGAGCUGACCCAUGGCAAUACAAUUCUGUGACGUACAUCCUGAUGGCAUCAUCAUCAUCACCAUCACCGUUACCAUGACAACAACAUCAUCACCCCCACCCACCAUCUUCACCAGCACCACCACCACCACCACCAGCAUCAGCACCACCAGCAUCAGCACCACCAGCAUGAGAAACAUCACUGCCACCAGCCCUAAGCUGUGGUGCCGAGUUUCAACACAGUUUUGUCUCCUUUCCAAGCCAUGUUGCAAGAAGAGGAAAUGGAGCCAGCACUGCACUUGGCAAGAGCAGAAUCUCAGGAAAGGAUAGGGCUCCAUGGUGCAGCCUCUGCCCCAGGACCUGAGUGGUCCUGCCCAGCAACCAUGAGCUCCAAAGCUGGCUGGACCCAUGUCUUUUCUACAAAGGGAUCCAGCUACACCUGUGUCCAGGUCCCUGAGAUUGCUGGGACCCUGGACAUGCUCAGCAGCGGGACUGGCCCUUGAGGGCUGACCAAGAACGGGAGUGCUCAAGGUGCUGGGGGGCUUCCGGACCCGCUGGACAUGGGAGACAUGAACGGCGACACCUGCGCUGAGCUGCCAGCAGUUCUAGGACCGCAGGCCUGGGCCAUGGCCGACCUCAGCUUCUGCUCCAUGGCUGUGCAGCAUGGCAGCACCAGUGGCAGGUCCUUGCGGCCCUCAUCCUGUGUCUCACACCGGCGACCUCCUCCUGAUUCAUGCCUGUCCUCUGUCCUGGGCAGAGGUGGGAAGGGACAGCAGAGCAUGGGCAGGCUGUGUGGCCUGUGCUCCUGCCCUCUGAUGCCCUCGGUGCUGCCUGCCCGGCAGGAUCCUGGGACCUGGCUGCCCUCUGAGAGCUUUCUGAGUUGUUGUCCUGGACUUACUGGGGAGCCCCCUAGCCGUUCCUGGCAGGGGGGAGGCCAGGGAGGCCAGAGUCUCCUCUCCUACCAGGCCAAAGGACUGCAAGGACAGCCACUGCCCUCCUGCUCAGCUCCCGUGCUGGGGCCUCUGGGGGGCACCAGGAUGCUGCAGGCUCUGUCCCUCCCUCAGGCCCUAGGCAGAGGGGACAGAGUCCUCCCCGCUAUCCCUGGUUUGGAAAACAGAAACCAGCUGCCCUCCUCACAGGACGGGAG